GUAGGGUAUGGAGAUAUCAGACCAGACACGACAGUUGGGAAAAUUGUGGCCUUUUUGUGCAUUUUAUCUGGAAUUUUAGUUUUAGCCUUACCGAUUGCCAUUAUAAAUGAUCGAU